UCUUGAUUUCCCUUUCUUCUAUCUUCUUUUCCAUUUCAUGUCUAAUAUCAUUUAUAUUUUCUGUCAUUUUUUCUUGUCCUUUUUUAAUUUUUUUUGUCAUUUCUGCCAUCAUUGUCAUUAAUGCCUUUAUUUGUUCCUCCAUUUUUGCUUCAGUACAUCUGAUUAUAACAGGCACGAAAUAUCCCAAUUUCUUCCAGAAUACUUUAUGAAAUUCUUCGAUUCUGGCAAAAAUCGUUUUUUUUUUCUUCGCGAACUCCAAUAAUGUAUGAUUUUUUUCUAGGGUUAUUCGCGAUCUGUGGAAAGUUCCAGAAAAUUCAUUGAAAUUUUUCGAUAACGUCGAAUUCGUUCUUCUCUCUUCGGGAGCUUUCCAACGAUGCAUGGUUUGUUGAGGUAAGUCACGAUUGGUAGAAACUUCUAGAAACUUCGAUAGAAGUUUGCAAUAACGUUGGAUCUGUUCUUCUUUCUUCAAGAGCUUCUUUAACGAUGUAUGACUCGGUGAAAUUCUUCAAUGACGUCAGUUUCUUUCUUUUCUCUUCGAGAGCUUUCCAAUAACUUAUCACUUGCUAAGGUUUCUUGCAGGGGAUGGAAACUUGACUGAUGGAACGCUCUGGAAUAUUCGAUGGGAUUCUUCAAAAAUCCUCCGCCUUCUAAAUUCUCUUCAGUUUUCUUUUAUCCCACUUCUGACACCAAACGUCAGGAAAUCAAACAUCUUGCACUAUUACUACUUUUAUUUAUUUGCUUUCUAAGUAACACUUCUAUUAACAAUUAAUCACUAUUUCACCACUAUUUUGCACACUUUGUCGCUUCUUUGCUCUUUCUACUUCUCUUUGUAUCGCCAUGUAACUCCAACUCAAGAUCUCAAGGAAACUAUUUAUAGAGGCUGACCAUAUUUUAGAAUGAUCUAGAAUACCACAAUAUUUCUUUCAGGUUCCUUUUGUCCCUUUGCAUGGUCACGUCAACUUAAUGUCUUUACCUAUGUUGUCGCCGUUCAACCCUGUAUAAUUUGAACUUAAAUGACUAUUUGCCAAACCCACAUAGGUGUAAAACCAAUCACAAAUAGAUCGGAUUCAGCAGUCUUCAGAUUCAUCGUAUUCAAGCGCUUUUACCUAUCAUAAUCUACGCUUUUUAUUGGGGUAUGUAUUGGUCAAUUAGUGUUAAGCGUUAAUUACUAAAUAUCUCAAAUCACAG